rnacentral:lncRNA from 1 species
GUUCAGGCCCCAUGUUAUAAAUUGCUUUUCUUUGCUGAUAAGAAAAGCUAAGAAUUCAGAAUAUUCAUGAUCCAGGAAGCUAAACAAAAACCCGCCUGUGAACUAAUCAGGUUGAGACAAAUAUGUAAGACUAAAAUGUGAUGCUGUUCAAUCAGAAGUGACAAAUUCCCUAAGUUGUGUUUUCCUGUCACUCAACAUAAAGAGAUAAGUAUUUUCUUGUCAAUUUUACUAAUUGAGACUAUUACAUCGACAAUGCAAUCUUUAUCCUCCAGUCUUGAGAGAAUUGCUAGGAAUUACAGAAACGUUUUCACAGAAAAAGCAGAAUAUGAGUUCAGGAGGGCUGGUUCCUUUUUGUCUCUCCUUUCAUUUACAUUGCAAAGCCAUCACCAACAUAUUUUUCUCUUUCUUUACUCCAAAAACAUUAAAAGAGCUAAAGCAGGUUCUGGUUUAGAGGACAGCUAUCAAAAUCAAUCAUCUUCCUUUUGCUAAUAAGUUAAAAACUAAUUAAAGGCACUCUUGGCAGCAUCAAAACCUAAACAAACUAAAAAGCUUUGUUUUAAAUGCCCACUGGAACACCCCCUCGGUGUGUUGGAUCAGGCAAGAAUUUGCAUUUAAACACCAAUCCUCAUUUUGCUGUAUUUUUAGAGACAAGAUGGGGUAAAUUUUAUUUCCUGAUCUUGAUUCUUUUUUUGAAGAAAAUAUGGAUUUGAUCAUUUCAACCCAAGUGCACACCCUUUUAGUGUUCUACAUGAAGAAAUGGGCAAGAUACACAAUUCUGUUUUCCAAUGAGAAAGAUGCACACACAAGUCUUCAAAAUGAAAGAUGUGAUAAAAGCAGUUUUUUCAUGGCACCGAUAAUGCCAGAGAAGACGAUUGCUAUGACUUCGGGUGGCUGACUCGGCUGGCAUAUCUCAGCGAUAGAGUCAAGUUAUCUCAAAUACCCUGCACCGAGCACGUCAGGGCUGAAAUAGCUUGUUUAAUGUGGAGAAUGACAGAUCCAGGAAUUCCUAAGAGAACCAAAGUGUGGUGCAAGUUGUUUGAUCACCAAGAGUAUGACUGUCCCCUGAAUAUUUGAGUAUCUCUUUUUCUCAGAGGGGGAAAAAUCCUGAUGAUGUUGUAUGUGCAUGUGUGUGUGUGUGUGUGUGUGUGUGUGUGUGUGUAAGGAAGACUGGCCCUGAGCUAACAUCUGUGCCGAUCUUCCUGUAUUUCAUGUGGCAUGCCGCCACAGUGUCCCUUGACGAGCGGUGCUAGGUCUGCGCCCAGGAUCCAAACCUGUGAAACCCAGGUCCCUGAGCAGAGUGCACAAACUUAACCACUGCACAACUGGGCGGGCCCCCAGUGAUGCCAUUUUUUAAAUUACAUCUAAAUUCUACGUGAAUAUGACAAAACACACUCCAGAGCUGAGUAAAACCAACAAGUGGGUUAAGAAUCCACUGACCACCCCUUUUCAAAUUAAAACUCUGAAUCUCCCUGGAUUUCAAAGUGAUCUGCUGUAUUGAGAAGGCAUGGAAUUGCUGCGUUCAUUCAUUCAUUCAACAAACUUGGAGAGUGCCACCACUUACCAGACCCUUUUCAAUGGACCUGUGAUCCAACAGUGGACAAAACAAAUAAAAAUCCUACCCACAUGAACCUUACAUUCUAAUGUGUGUAGGGGAGGGAAGGAUUGAGGGAAGACAAACACAAGCAUAGUAAAUAAAUGAAAAAAUAGUAUGCUGGAAGGUGAUGAUUUCUAGGGUUAAAAAAAAACGUCAAGAAAGCUUACUAUGGAUGGGGAAUGUCUGCUGAAGGAGGGUGGUGGGGAGAGUGGGCGCAGGUUGCAAUUAAAACAGGGUGCUCUAAGUAGGUCAUAUUGAGCUUGUGAGAACUGAGUAAAGACUGGAAGGAGCUGAGGAAGGUAAGUAUGUAGAUAACCAUAGGAAAGGAGAGGAAGCAGGCACUGCAGAGAACAGUCGGAGGCUGUCUGGGGGCUGGAGGGGCUGGAGGGGCUGGAGGGGCUGGAGGGGUGGGGUGGAGCCACUGAGCAUCAGGGCCUCAGGGGAUGAGGUCUGAGCAGUCACUGAGGCUGGACCAUGUAGAUCCUCAUAAAGACACUGGCUUUCACUGUGAAUGAAAUGGAGUAUUGGCAGGGUUUUUAAAGACUGGCGUUAUCUAGCUUAGAUAUUACAUGAAUCACUUUGGCUACCAUGUUGAAAAUUGAUUGGGCUGGAGGGGCAGGCCAAGAAGCAGUUAGAAAGUUAUUGACGUAAUCCAGGAUGUGGAUGGCUCACCCCAGGAGGGUAGCAGAGAAGGUAGUGAGAAGUGUUGAGGCCUGGAUAUGUCCUGAAGGUGGAGCCAACACUAUUUCCUGACAAAAUGGAUGUCACAUGUGAGACAAAGACAGGAGGCAGGAAGGCGUGAGUCUUCUUUCUCUGAGCAACUGGAAGACUUGCCAUCAUUUUGCGGUUGAUUGCAAAAGAAUCAGCCUGAAUAAUCUAAGACAGGCAUUUCAGGUCUCUGAUUUAAGGACAUUGUUGUAAAUGUCAUUUGCACAGAGCAAUGGAAUUGCCUUUAUUCCAUCCCUGGAAAAAGUCAAAGAAGAAAAUCAGGGUUAUGAAAAUUGUUUGUCAGAAGAUGGCUGAAUUCUGAUUUAGGAAAAGGUGUCUAAUCCUUGAGCUCUAGCAAAGGCAAAGAGGAGACAAGGCCAUGGUAAAGAAAAAUAUCACUUAGGUUACUCCCAACUAAUAGGAUCAUAUAAAAAUGAAAUGGAGAAUAAAAAUACUGUGAUGUUGAUGGAUUAUGAUGGAAUUGAGUUAAAGAAAAUAAGUGCUUUAAAUCAUCCAAUUCCCUAAAUAACAUUGGAAACCAGGGCACC